rnacentral:lncRNA from 1 species
UUUUGUUCGUACUUUUUCCCUUUUCCUUUGGAAAUAAUAAAAGCGAGGUGGCGACUCUUGCUUUGGGAGUUAAGUUAAUCAAUAGCUCAAUCUCAAAAUGUUUACCGCUACACACCUUAACCCUAAUCUCGAUCCUCAAGCAUCCAACAAGCUUGAAGGAUCAUUCAAGACAUCUCACUCACUCUCCAAAACCCUAAUUGGAUGGUGAGUCCCCUUUGAAGACACAUCAAGAUUCAUCUGGUUACCCAAGGACCCUAACC